rnacentral:rRNA from 1 species
AACGAACGCUGGCGGCAUGCCUAACACAUGCAAGUCGAACGAGACCUUCGGGUCUAGUGGCGCACGGGUGCGUAACGCGUGGGAACCUGCCCUUAGGUUCGGAAUAACUCCCCGAAAGGGGUGCUAAUACCGGAUAAUGUCUUCGGACCAAAGAUUUAUCGCCUUUGGAUGGGCCCGCGUUGGAUUAGCUAGUUGGUAGGGUAAAAGCCUACCAAGGCGACGAUCCAUAGCUGGUCUGAGAGGAUGAUCAGCCACACUGGGACUGAGACACGGCCCAGACUCCUACGGGAGGCAGCAGUGGGGAAUAUUGGGCGAUGGGCGAAAGCCUGAUCAAGCAAUGCCGGGUGAGUGAGGAAGGCCUUAGGGUUGUAAAGCUCUUUUACCCGGGAUGAUAAUGACAGUACCGGGAGAAUAAGCUCCGGCUAACUCCGUG